UACGUAGGGUGCGAGCGUUGUCCGGAAUUAUUGGGCGUAAAGAGCUCGUAGGCGGUUUGUUGCGUCUAUCGUGAAAACCUGCAGCUUAACUGUGGGCUUGCGGUGGAUACGGGCAGACUUGAGUUCGGUAGGGGAGACUGGAAUUCCUGGUGUAGCGGUGAAAUGCGCAGAUAUCAGGAGGAACACCGGUGGCGAAGGCGGCGCUCUGGACCGAGACUGACGCUGAGGCGCGAAAGCGUGGGGAGCAAACAGG
rnacentral:rRNA from 1 species